GGCAAGCUAGCAUAGGGCAACUCCAUUUCUGGUUCCAAUACUAGGUGAUUGUUGCAAUCUUGACGGUCUUUGAAAGAUUCUUCGAUGUGUUCGUUUCAUGGUUGCCAUUGUCUGAUGAGACCAAGCUAGCAUUCUUCAUCUACUUGUGGCACCCAAAAACAAAGGUGUUAGAAGUUAGUCGGCAAGCCUUGAUGGGAGAGAAACUGAUCGAAUGAGG